rnacentral:lncRNA from 1 species
CCCCUACAACGCAUGAAUUAAGAAUUAUAGCAACAACAACAAGGUCUACUCGACAUAACUUAGGAGUUAAUAAAACCUUUUUACAAAUGAUCCAUCAACUAAUAUUAUCAAUGAAUCCGAAUGGGUCAUUGUUAAAUUUUACCAUGAUAUUUGAUUUGGGAAAUACAUCAUUAUUCUAUACUCUUUCAUAUGUAUGGCGCAACCCAACCGUUUUUUUUUUGAGUCUCUUAUUUUUUUUUUAUUUUGGAAUAUCAUUUUCUAAUCUAAAUAAUAAAAAAGAUAUUCUUGACCUUGACAGUGAUCUAUGUUGUAUAUGUAAAUCCUAGAUGUAAAAAUCGGCAGAAUUUUCCCAAUAAAAAGAAAAAUUGGUAAAAAUGAUAUGCUAAGUAUAAAUCCUAUGCUGAGGAAAUAAAAAAGAAGGACCAAUGAGAUAGAAAAACGGAAUCAUAAACAAAGUUCAGGUUCUAAUUCCAUAGAUAAUAUAGUAUUGUCUAUAAUCUAGAUGACUGGGUUGACCUUGAAAAUUCAAUCAUUGAAAUUUUAAAACAAUUGAAUUGAAUGGAUGGUACCAAGAAAAUCGAUUAUNAAGUCAUUAAAAUUUUUUACUUGUAUUGGAAUUGUAAAGUGGCUUAUUAAAUUUGCGGACAAAUAUUUUUAGACAAAAUGAUUUAUAUAUUUGAGAUAGAGGCGAGUAGAAUUUUAAAUGUGUUAAAAGUCAUAGAAUGAAGAACAACGGAGAAUGAGAUGCGAUUUUUUAGAUUAUCAUUUUUUAAAGGACUAACUUACAUACAAUUUGCUUCAUAUACUGUUAAACUAUUUUUCGUUCAUAUAUAGCAUGUGGAGUUAUCUCCAUUUUUUUGAAAUAAACUGCUACGACAAGCUCAUGUUUCGGUAGAGGAUCGGCAUUGUUGACAUAAAGUUUUGGACAGGUCUCACCUUAUGGAAUUUAAAAAAGCAUCAAAAUUCUUUGAACUUGCCUAUUGCUUAUCUUUUUUAACAAUAUAUAUCAAUUACAAAAAUAAUAAAAAAAGUCUUACCUUUAACUCAAUAUUAUUCACUAUAUUAUUAUAUAUAUCUAUAUAAUAUAUAUAUACUAUAUAUAUAUACUAUAUAUUUUAUAUAUUAUAUAUACUAUUAUACCUAUUUAUAUGAUAAACUUUUCCAAGAUGCUCUCUUUUUCCAUAAAAAAAAAUUCGCUCAAAAAAAAUGCUAAAAGAUUUGAAUCCUAAAUGAGAGGAUUUAUUACGUAGAAAAACGAGGAUAUAUUCAUAUUCACAUACAUAAAAAUUAUGGAGGAACAAAAAUAAUCUUGGAUUACUUUUUGAAAAAGUCGCAAAUUCGAUUUUUUGGUAGUAAUAAAACUAUUCCAAUUACAAAAAUGAUAAAGAAACAGCCGUAAUAAAUGAAAAAAAGGGGCAUCUUUCACCCAGUAUCGAAGGAUUUGAACUAAGAUUUCCAGAUGGAUAUUAGUUAGUUAACCUAAGUAUUAAUUAGAGAAUUAAGAAAAUUGUUGAAAUCUAUGAUCGAAGCUGUAAAUAUAAUUUCUUCUCAAAGUUUUGUUUUUGACACAAACAUUAUUAACACAUUUUAUUAAUCAAGUGAUGCUCAAUAUGAGGAGGAAUUAAAUUUAAAGUAAUAAGUUUAGUUAAAUUAAAAAUACUUAGUCGUAAAUGUAAUGUUUCCUCUAUGUUUUUAAAACGUGUAAUUUUAGUGACGUGGUAGAACACAUCACAUGAGCAUAUUCGAAAAAAUUUGAGUUAAAAUAGUUUGUCAAAAUUUGUAUUAUUCAUAUGCAUGUGAAACAAGAAAAAAUAAAAAUAUAGAAAAGCAAUAAAGAAUACUUCAAGACAAAUGAAAGAUUAAUAAAAUUUGUAUAGUGUAUCUUGUGAUUAGUUUUAAUACAAGAAAGCCGAAGUAUAUAUUUUAUUCGAUACAAACUUUUUUUUAGGAUCCAUUAUAAUAAUGGGAAAGAUUUCUGCAUAUUCGCAAAAAUCGAUCAAUAAUAUCAAAAUCGGAUGAAUCGGCCCAGACCGGCUUACUAAUGGGCUCCCCUAAUACAUUACAAAAUUUCGCUUUAGGCAAGGAUCUAAUUAGAGGAAUAAUUGGAACUAUUAUAUCCAAUUUUUUGAUAACAAUUUCGAUUAGAAAUGUAUUUUGUAGCAUUUGACUCCGUACCACUGAACGAUUUCGUCGCACAUUUGAAAAAUAGCCUAAAAGCUGAAAUGAAUGUUCGGAUAAUGGGUUUAUAUUGAUCAUUCUUGGUUGAGACCAAACAUAAAAAAAACAUUGCCAUAAAUGGAUAAAAUAGUGUUUCCAUUUAUUCAUCAAAAAAUGGGCAUUCUUUAAAGCCAGAAUGCAUUUUCCUUGAUAUCGAACAUAAUGAAUGUUAGGAUCCUUGAAGAAUGUUAAAGGAUACGAAAAAUCUUUAGCAAAAACUUUUCCAAGAUGCUCUCUUUUUCCAUAAAAAAAAAUUUGCUCAAAAAAAAUGCUAAAAGAUUUGAAUCCUAAAUGAGAGGAUUUAUUACGUAGAAAAACGAGGAUAUAUUCAUAUUCACAUACAUAAAAAUUAUGGAGGAACAAAAAUAAUCUUGGAUUACUUUUAGAAAAAUCUUUAGCAAAAACUUUUCCAAGAUGCUCUCUUUUUCCAUAAAAAAAAAUUCGCUCAAAAAAAAUGCUAAAAGAUUUGAAUCCUAAAUGAGAGGAUUUAUUACGUAGAAAAACGAGGAUAUGUUCAUAUUCACAUACAUAAAAAUUAUGGAGGAACAAAAAUAAUCUUGGAUUACUUUUUGAAAAAGUCGAAAUCGAUUUUUUGGUAGUAAUAAAACUAUUCCAAUUACAAAAAUGAUAAAGAAACAGCCGUAAUAAACGAAAAAAAGGGGCAUCUUUCACCCAGUAUCGAAGGAUUUGAACUAAGAUUUCCAGAUGGAUAGGAUAGGGUAUUCGUAUAUCUGACACAUAAUUUAAAUAUGUAAAUUUAUCUUCCAAAAAGGGGAAAUGGAAUGAAUUGAUCUCAAAUUUUUAAAAGAUUUGAGGAUUUCUGCCUCCUCGAAGGAAGAGCUUAAUUGUCGGAAAAAUGGAAUUUCCACGACGAUGGCAAAACCCUCUGAUAUUAUUUAUAAUAAAACUAUUCCAAUUACAAAAAUGAUAAAGAAACAGCCGUAAUAAAUGAAAAAAAGGGGCAUCUUUCACCCAGUAUCGAAGGAUUUGAACUAAGAUUUCCAGAUGGAUAGGAUAGGGUAUUCGGAUAUCUGACACAUAAUUUAAAUAUGUAAAUUUAUCUUCCAAAAAGGGGAAAAUGGAAUGAAUUGAUCUCAAAUUUUUAAAAGAUUUGAGGAUUUCUGCCUCCUCGAAGGAAGAGCUUAAUUGUCGGAAAAAUGAAAUUUCCACGACGAUGGCAAAACCCUCUGAUAUUAUUUGACAAUCCAAAUUCUUAUUAUACCCCCAAAAUGGAUUUUUGGGAGAAUCAUUAGCCGAAAUGAUUAAAUGAUUCUGUUGAUACAUUCGAGAAAUUAACCGUUUUACAAUUAGUAAACUAUAUUUAUUGUCAUAACCUACAUUUUCCAAAAAAAUGGAUCUAUGAAAAUGAUGACUAUAAGCAAGUCCAUAAAUAUACUCCCUAAAAAGAAGUGGGUAUAGUUGGCGAGAUCUAGAUCGUUCUAAAUAUACUUGAUAUUCCUUCAUUUUCUAAAUUCGAUUUGGUCAAAGGAUCAGAGAUUCAUUGGAUUCUCAAAUGAUACAUAGUGCGAUACAGUCAAAACAAGGGAUUCUAUAUCUAUAUUCGAAUUGAAAUCAAAAACAAAUAUGAAUAGAUACCUAGAAAACGAGUUAAAACCGAUUAAUGGACUAUCUCCCCUCGCUUGUUCCUUCUCAUUUUAACAAGCUAGUUAGAAAGCCUUUAUUUUUUGGACCAAUCGCUCUUUUGAUUUUGGAAAAAAAUAUCUUUAUCAAUAUACUCUUUCUUCUACAUAUUUCUUGCUACCCCAUAACAUAAUGGGGUAUAGCUAAUAAUUAGGACUCAUAUCAAAAAUCCUUAAUCCAUUCGUGGGAAAAAGUUUUUCCACAGCAAGCACUAAUCCUUUUUUAACGUAUAAUUAGAUGUGGUAAUCAUUCAAAUAAAAAAUGAAAGCUCGUUGCUUUUUGUUUCCUUAUAAAUGGAGCAGCUAAGCUCUAUCCCUUUAUUAAUUCAACCCAACGUAAUUCAUUUGUUCCGAGUCAACAAUUCAAAGAAAAAUAUUGGUCGGAUCCAAUAUGAAUGAAAAAUUUUUAGAAUUCACCGUUGAACGAGUCAACAAUUCAAAGAAAAAUAUUGGUCGGAUCCAAUAUGAAUGAAAAAUUUUUAGAAUUCACCGUUGAUACGACAUGCUGCUUUUUCCAUUCAUUCCUUUCUGGAUCAGUCGUGGUCUUACAACCCCUACCGAUGGUAGGGAUGAACCAAUUAGUUCAUAGAAAUGUGUAAAAAAUGGAGUCGCACUUAAAAGCCGAGUACUCUACCAUUGAGUUAGCAACCCUAAUCAAAUUACAAACAAGGAUGUGUAUAGUCAAUCGCAAUAAAAAAAAAAGAUGCAAUUCUAUAAAUAAUAGAAUCAAAUGUUACAUAUUACAUUAAAUUACAAUGAAAAAAAACAGAAAAAAAAUUAGAAUCAAAAAUGAUAGACCACUUAUUUAGGGCAGUAGUUAUUUGUGUAUUACUAUAGUUUUAAAUUAUUAUUAUUUUUUACAUAUUUUUCAUAUUUCUAUUUCACUUUGAAUAAAAAAAAAACUUCUUGUUUGUAUCAAACAAAAUACAACGAAUCCACAUAGUUCAUAGAAAUGUGUAAAAAAUGGAGUCGCACUUAAAAGCCGAGUACUCUACCAUUGAGUUAGCAACCCUAAUCAAAUUACAAACAAGGAUGUGUAUAGCCAAUCGCAAUAAAAAAAAAAGAUGCGAUUCUAUAAAUAAUAGAAUCAAAUGUUACAUAUUACAUUAAAUUACAAUGAAAAAAAACAGAAAAAAAAUUAGAAUCAAAAAUGAUAGACCACUUAUUUAGGACAGUAGUUAUUUGUGUAUUACUAUAGCUUUAAAUUAUUAUUAUUUUUUACAUAUUUUUCAUAUUUCUAUUUCACUUUGAAUAAAAAAAAAACUUCUUGUUUGUAUCAAACAAAAUACAACGAAUCCACCAUUAAGAUUAAGUAAAAAACCUAUCUGGCAUGAGUCAAUCGAUCCAUUUAUUCACGAUCAGAUUAUAUUUGUUUGAUACACUGUUGUCAAUAUUAGUGUUGACAAAAUAUAUAUAUAUCGAUCCUUCGGAUCGAUAGGAUUUAUUAUAGAUACAAAGUCGAACAACGAGUCACGACCAGGUGGAUUAAACAACAAAUAACAUAGUGAUCAACAUACAAAAAACCGACUAAAAUAACACACACAAUAUACCCAUCGGUGCAACCCAAUAUCCCUCAAGAUCAAAGAGUAAUAGCGCAACCAAGAACACCGUACAUUUAUAUGACACAUAACAUAGAAACGAUAUGAUCAAAGAACCGAAAACUAAAACCAUCAUGACUCACACCCCUAUCAUUAACCAGCACUGGAGAUAUAUCAUCAAANNNNNNNNNNNNNNNNNNNNNNNNNCAACAAGGGGCGAACUCUGGCCCCGCAAAGUUUCCUCGGUGAUUAUGAGUUACUACUCCUUGACUCUUUAUACUGUCCCAACAUCUGACUGCCAUUUUCAACUCGAAAUGGAAUUAUUAUACAGAAAUUGCGAUUGUAACAUCCAAAUAAUCCAUAGGAAGAUCAAUUGAUCCCAAGCGGAUACUUGGCAUGUCCCCCUCUUCCAGGGUUGAUUUCCUUCCAGACUUCACAAGCAGCAGCUAAUUCAGGACUCCAUUUGCAAGCUUCACGGAUAAUUGCAUUACCCUCGCGAGCAAGAUCACGUCCCUCAUUCCGAGCUUGUACACAUGCUUCCAAAGCUACUCGAUUCGCUACGGCACCAGGUGCAUUUCCCCAAGGGUGUCCUAAAGUUCCUCCACCGAAUUGGAGUACAGAAUCAUCUCCAAAUAUCUCGGUCAGAGCAGGCAUAUGCCAAACGUGAAUACCACCUGAAGCAACAGGGAUAACACCUGGUAAAGAAACCCAAUCCUGAGUGAAAUAAAUACCGCGACUUCUAUCUUUUUUAAUAUAAUCAUCACGUAGUAAAUCAACAAAACCUAAAGUAAUCUCCCUUUCCCCUUCAAGUUUACCUACUACAGUACCAGCGUGAAUAUGAUCUCCACCAGACAAACGUAAGGCUUUAGCUAAUACACGAAAGUGCAUACCAUGAUUUUUUUGUCUAUCGAUAACUGCAUGCAUUGCACAGUGCAUUUCCCCAAGGGUGUCCUAAAGUUCCUCCACCGAAUUGGAGUACAGAAUCAUCUCCAAAUAUCUCGGUCAGAGCAGGCAUAUGCCAAACGUGAAUACCCCCUGAAGCAACAGGGAUAACACCCGGUAAAGAAACCCAAUCCUGAGUGAAAUAAAUACCGCGACUUCUAUCUUUUUUAAUAUAAUCAUCACGUAGUAAAUCAACAAAACCUAAAGUAAUCUCCCUUUCUCCUUCAAGUUUACCUACUACAGUUCCAGCGUGAAUAUGAUCUCCACCAGACAAACGUAAGGCUUUAGCUAAUACACGAAAGUGCAUACCAUGAUUUUUUUGUCUAUCGAUAACUGCAUGCAUUGCACGGUGGAUAUGAAGAAGUAGACCAUUAGCCCGGCAAUAGUGAGACAGGGUAGUAUUUGCAGUGAAUCCACCUGUUAAGUAGUCAUGCAUUACGAUAGGAACGCCCAAUUCUCUAGCAAAUACAGCUCUUUUUAGCAUUUCUUCACAUGUACCCGCAAGAGCUACUCGAUUCGCUACGGCACCAGGUGCAUUUCCCCAAGGGUGUCCUAAAGUUCCUCCACCGAAUUGGAGUACAGAAUCAUCUCCAAAUAUCUCGGUCAGAGCAGGCAUAUGCCAAACGUGAAUCCCCCCUGAAGCAACAGGGAUAACACCUGGUAAAGAAACCCAAUCCUGAGUGAAAUAAAUACCGCGACUUCUAUCUUUUUUAAUAUAAUCAUCACGUAGUAAAUCAACAAAACCUAAAGUAAUCUCCCUUCCUCCUUCAAGUUUACCUACUACAGUACCAGCGUGAAUAUGAUCUCCACCAGACAAACGUAAGGCUUUAGCUAAUACACGAAAGUGCAUACCAUGAUUUUUUUGUCUAUCGAUAACUGCAUGCAUUGCAUGGUGGAUAUGAAGAAGUAGACCAUUAUCCCGGCAAUAGUGAGACAGGGUAGUAUUUGCAGUGAAUCCACCUGUUAAGUAGUCAUGCAUUACGAUAGGAACGCCCAAUUCUCUAGCAAAUACAGCUCUAUACACGAAAGUGCAUACCAUGAUUUUUUUGUCUAUCGAUAACUGCAUGCAUUGCACGGUGGAUAUGAAGAAGUAGACCAUUAUCCCGACAAUAGUGAGACAGGGUAGUAUUUGCAGUGAAUCCACCUAUUAAGUAGUCAUGCAUUACGAUAGGAACGCCCAAUUCUCUAGCAAAUACAGCUCUUUUUAGCAUUUCUUCACAUGUACCCGCAGUAGCAUUCAAAUAAUGUCCUUUGAUUUCACCUGUUUUGGCCUGUGAUUUAUAAAUUACUUUGGCACAAAAUAAGAAACGGUCUCUCCAACGCAUAAAUGGUUGGGAGUUCACAUUUUCAUCAUCUUUGGUAAAAUCAAGUCCCCCGCGGAGACAUUCAUAAACUGCUCUACCGUAAUUCUUAGCGGAUAAACCCAAUUUUGGUUUAAUAGUACAUCCCAAUAGGGGACGUCCAUACUUGUUCAAUUUAUCUCUCUCAACUUGGAUUCCGUGAGGAGGACCUUGGAAAGUUUUAACAUAAGCAUGCAUUACGAUAGGAACGCCCAAUUCUCUAGCAAAUACAGCUCUUUUUAGCAUUUCUUCACAUGUACCCGCAGUAGCAUUCAAAUAAUGUCCUUUGAUUUCACCUGUUUCGGCCUGUGAUUUAUAAAUCGCUUCGGCACAAAAUAAGAAACGGUCUCUCCAACGCAUAAAUGGUUGGGAGUUCACAUUUUCAUCAUCUUUGGUAAAAUCAAGUCCCCCGCGGAGACAUUCAUAAACUGCUCUACCAUAAUUCUUAGCAGAUAAACCCAAUUUUGGUUUAAUAGUACAUCCCAAUAGGGGACGUCCAUACUUGUUCAAUUUAUCUCUCUCAACUUGGAUUCCGUGAGGAGGACCUUGGAAAGUUUUAACAUAAGCAUAAGGGAUUCGUAAAUCUUCCAGACGUAGAGCACGCAAGGCCUUGAACCCAAAUACAUUACCUACAAUGGAGGUAAACAUGUUAGUAACAGAACCUUCUUCAAAAAGGUCUAAGGGAUAAGCUACAUAAGCAAUAAAUUGAUUGUCUUCUCCAGGAACAGGCUCGAUCUCGUAGCAGCGUCCUUUAUAACGAUCGAGGCUCGUAAGUCCAUCGGUCCACACAGUUGUCCAUGUACCAGUGGAAGAUUCUGCAGCUACCGCUGCACCUGCUUCUUCAGGCGGAACUCCAGGUUGAGGAGUUACUCGGAAUGCUGCCAAGAUAUCAGUAUCUUUGGUUUGAUAGUCAGGAGUAUAAUAAGUCAAUUUAUAAUCUUUAACACCAGCUUUGAACCCAACCUUUGCUUUCGUUUCUGUUUGUGGUGACAUAAAUCUCCCCCUACAACGCAUGAAUUAAGAAUUAUAGCAACAACAACAAGGUCUACUCGACAUAACUUAGGAGUUAAUAAAACCUUUUUACAAAUGAUCCAUCAACUAAUAUUAUCAAUGAAUCUGAAUGGGUCAUUGUUAAAUUUUACCAUGAUAUUUGAUUUGGGAAAUACAUCAUUAUUCUAUACUCUUUCAUAUGUAUGGCGCAACCCAACCGUUUUUUUUUUGAGUCUCUUAUUUUUUUUUUUAUUUUUGAAUAUCAUUUUCUAAUCUAAAUAAUAAAAAAGAUAUUCUUGACCUUGACAGUGAUCUAUGUUGUAUAUGUAAAUCCUAGAUGUAAAAAUCGGCAGAAUUUUCCCAAUAAAAAGAAAAAUUGGUAAAAUGAUAUGCUAAGUAUAAAUCCUAUGCUGAGGAAAUAAAAAAGAAGGACCAAUGAGAUAGAAAAACGGAAUCAUAAACAAAGUUCAGGUUCUAAUUCCAUAGAUAAUAUAGUAUUGUCUAUAAUAUAACUUAGGAGUUAAUAAAACCUUUUUACAAAUGAUCCAUCAACUAAUAUUAUCAAUGAAUCCGAAUGGGUCAUUGUUAAAUUUUACCAUGAUAUUUGAUUUGGGAAAUACAUCAUUAUUCUAUACUUUUUCAUAUGUAUGGCGCAACCCAACCGUUUUUUUUUUGAGUCUCUUAUUUUUUUUUUUAUUUUGGAAUAUCAUUUUCUAAUCUAAAUAAUAAAAAAGAUAUUCUUGACCUUGACAGUGAUCUAUGUUGUAUAUAUAAAUCCUAGAUGUAAAAAUCGGCAGAAUUUUCCCAAUAAAAAGAAAAAUUGGUAAAAAUGAUAUGCUAAGUAUAAAUCCUAUGCUGAGGAAAUAAAAAAGAAGGACCAAUGAGAUAGAAAAACGGAAACAUAAACAAAGUUCAGGUUCUAAUUCCAUAGAUAAUAUAGUAUUGUCUAUAAUCUAGAUGACUGGGUUGACCUUGAAAAUUCAAUCAUUGAAAUUUUAAAACAAUUGAAUUGAUUGGAUGGUACCAAA